AGCUCAUCCUACACACUAACAUUUGCUUACGCUAUUCAAGUACACUGCACCCAGUUUUGGUUCUUUGCCAGGAUUAAACCCACGAUAUUUUACAAUUUGCAUGUGAACCCCGAUGAAGUGUUUCUAGGAGAUGGCUGUCCUGUAACCUAUGUUUUGCCAAAUGUCUACUAUGAGUUUUUCUACCAUCCUCAUGACUGCGGUAUUGUAACUCAACCUCUCAGGGGAGUUCUUCUGCUUAAAACAAAAAUUAAGUAUAUCUCAAGAGACUCUGCUGUCCGAGCUGAAAUGCCUCUGUCGUGUGUGGUCCGCAAUCAGCAUCCUCUUUUAAAUGUAGUUGAAACGAGAGAUGGGGAAACUGGCAAUGUUGAUGAAUGGGAGAUAGAGGUGAAGAUACAGAUUGCGAGUGAAGACACGGCAGUAACUUCUGCAACACAAUCUUGUAAGAAUCUGACUGCUACACUCCCUUGUUCAUCAAAUGAGUACCUUUAUUGCAAGAGAAGAAACUGUGCUGUCCACUUUGAUACUGAAAGGCAAUUUGGAAUCUCUGCCAUGAUUGCUUAGGACUGAGGAUUUAAUGUGCUAUUUUGUGAAAAUCUGAGAAGCAGGAAGGGGAUUUAAUGAUCUCAACCGUUAUCCAUCUGAAAAACCUAACUUGUGAUUUUAAAUAAAAUGCAGGCUGCCUUCCACUAUUCCCCUUUUAAAAUAGGAACUGCCACUGCUUUUAACUUUAUGAAGUUUUAUUUAUGAAUAAAGUUUGUACUACUAUAUAUCUGUUUCUAGUUAUUGCAAGACUGACUUUUAUGUAAUUUUAAGCUUCAAUGCUCAUUAGAAAUAGGUUUUUAAGGGUACAGUUACUAACUCUUCUCAGUUGCUGAUUCAUGCCCUUAGCUAAGGCUUAGUUGUGGUUGGUCCUGGUAACAGGGCCUAAUCAUUCAUUUAUUCCACGAAGAAUCCCUCAUGGAGUUCACACUUUAGUAGGAGGAGGCAGAGUAUACAAAAAAACAUACUCUAUAGUAUUUUAAGAAGGAGUAAAUGCACCUUAGGGCACAGAGGCAGAGAAAGAAGAUAGGGAAUUCUUGGGUGAGGGUUGUGGUCCUUAAUACGGCAUCAGGGAAGGCAUCCCUCGAAGGUGAUAAUUGAGGAAAGAACUGGAGGAAGUGAGGGAAUGAGCCUGGCAGAUCCUGGAGGGAAGGCUGUUCAAGACUAUGGAAACAGUUGAUGUAAAGUCACUGAGUGUUUGCAGAACAAGGCCAGCAUGAUUGGAGAGGUAAAGUCAUACAGAUGAGGUCUUAAAACAACAACCGAAACACCUAAAACAAUGAGUGGAGUACCUCAUUUAAUUUCUCAAAGUUGAUUGACACACCUGGCUUUUGUUUGAAAUAAAAUGGGAACCCCCUGGAAAGCUCCAAAUGGAGGAGUGAUGUGAUCUGACUUGGAUUUUUAUUAUCAGGAUCACCCUGGCUGCUGGAUGGAAAACAGACACCAAGAGGAAGCAGGGACUGAAGUAGGGA
rnacentral:lncRNA from 1 species